GUGGGGAAUUUUGGACAAUGGGCGCAAGCCUGAUCCAGCAAUGCCGCGUGCAGGAAGAAGGCCUUCGGGUUGUAAACUGCUUUUGUACGGAACGAAAAGGCUCUGGUUAAUACCUGGGGCUCAUGACGGUACCGUAAGAAUAAGCACCGGCUAACUACGUGCCAGCAGCCGCGGUAAUACGUAGGGUGCGAGCGUUAAUCGGAAUUACUGGGCGUAAAGCGUGCGCAGGCGGCUAUGCAAGACAGAUGUGAAAUCCCCGGGCUCAACCUGGGAAUGGCGUUUGUGACUGCAAAGCUGGAGUGCGGCAGAGGGGGAUGGAAUUCCGCGUGUAGCAGUGAAAUGCGUAGAUAUGCGGAGGAACACCGAUGGCGAAGGCAAUCCCCUGGGCCUGCACUGACGCUCAUGCACGAAAGCGUGGGGAUCAAACAGGAUUAGAUACCCUAGUAGUCC
rnacentral:rRNA from 1 species